AUUGAACGCUGGCGGCAGGCCUAACACAUGCAAGUCGAGCGAGCGGCGGACGGGUGAGUAAUGUAUGGGGAACUGCCUGAUGGAGGGGGAUAACUACUGGAAACGGUAGCUAAUACCGCAUACCAUCAGAUGUACCCAUAUGGGAUUAGCUUGUAGGGGGGGUAACGGCUCACCUAGGCGACGAUCCCUAGCUGGUCUGAGAGGAUGACCAGCCACACUGGGACUGAGACACGGCCCAGACUCCUACGGGAGGAAGCAGUGGGGAAUAUUGCACAAUGUGCGCAAGCCUGAUGCAGCCAUGCCGCGUGUAUGAAGAAGGCCUUCGGGUUGUAAAGUACUUUCAGUCGGGAGGCGUUACCGGCAGAAGAAGCACCGGCUAACUCCGUGCCAGCAGCCGCGGUAAUUC
rnacentral:rRNA from 1 species